GGAACAAAUCGAUGGAUCGGGGCGGCGAGCGCGGAGCAGGAGGCGCAGCCCCGGGGCCGCCCGGGUGAGAGCCCUCCCGCAAGAGCGAGCCCGGAGCCCGGCGGCGCGGGAGGCGGGGGGGGGACCUGCACCACAAAGAUGAGUUUGGAAGAGCGAAUGCGCCGCGGACAACCUGGAUGAGCGGGGAGAGAGGCUGGGGCUCCCCUCCCCCCCACCCCGGGGCGGAGGCCCCUCACCGUGGCGUCGGGCCCAGGCCGGGGGCGGCCCCGGGGCUCGGCUCCGUGCUCGGCCGGGGGUAUCCCGGGGCCGGGGGGGAGCCCCUUUUGGCUGAGGCGGAGUAAACCCGCUUAAUGAUGGUACAGACACGAUCUCGCCGCCUCUCCCCCACUCCAUCGGAAGAGCAUAAAGGCCAAUAAAUUACCUCCGCUGCUUAUCUGAAAAUCCA